CUUGAAUUCAUGUGUGUCCUGAGACAUCAGAGGGAAAUAUCUGAGGUGGGGGAAGGAACUGAGGAGAGACAGGAAUGCUGUGCAGGUGUGAGGAGAUUGUUAUGUUCAACUACUCUGAGGCAGAGAAACUACUGAGAAGGGUGAGAUCUGGGUUUAAUAACAUCCGUGGACAACCCAUGCAAAAUAAGAAACAGUAGAAAGGAGCGAACUUUGAGGAGCAAAAUAUGUGGGUGAAUUUCCUCUUGUAUAUUUGGAGAAGCGCAGGACUUGGAAUUCUCUGAAACAUAAACUGGCUCAUCUUCCUUCCCCAGAGAACUUGUUUCUGUUUUCUUCCAGAGUACUUACGGAGUAUGGAGGAAGGCAGUGGGCUGUCAUAAGGAGGACAUUUGCAUCAAGGUGUUUCAGUGUACCUGAAAAGAACCAUAGGAAGCGAACUGAUGCCAGAGUCCUUCUCCAGGAAGAAUUGCAGAUGCUUUCAUCCCAUAAAGCAUGUUGCCUGGACAAGUCUUCAGGAGUUGUUUGCCUGCUGGCCAUGACAACACAUGUAGCUGGUCUACACUGA
rnacentral:lncRNA from 1 species